rnacentral:rRNA from 1 species
AGCGAACGCUGGCGGCAGGCCUAACACAUGCAAGUCGAACGCCCCUUCGGGGGAGUGGCGGACGGGUGAGUAACGCGUGGGAACGUGCCCUUUGGUACGGAACAACUGAGGGAAACUUCAGCUAAUACCGUAUGUGCCCCCAUUCUUAGCGGGAUGGGUGGGAAAGAUUUAUCGCCAUUGGAGCGGCCCGCGUUAGAUUAGCUAGUUGGUAGGGUAAUGGCCUAUCAAGGCGACGAUCUAUAGCUGGUCUGAGAGGAUGAUCAGCCACACUGGGACUGAGACACGGCCCAGACUCCUACGGGAGGCAGCAGUGGGGAAUCUUGCGCAAUGGGCGAAAGCCUGACGCAGCCAUGCCGCGUGAAUGAUGAAGGUCUUAGGAUUGUAAAAUUCUUUCACCGGGGACGAUAAUGACGGUACCCGGAGAAGAAGCCCCGGCUAACUUCGUGCCAGCAGCCGCGGU